AAAUAUUAGGGCUGUCUCCAGCAGCUGUGAGUCAAGACCUUGUCACGAAAACAUGACGGUGUGUUUUUAUUUGGGAAUUGCUAAGAUAACUGCAGUAAAAGCACAGACAGAGUUGAUGGAGUUCUUUCUUACCAAAUUGUUGUAGUCAUGUCAUGCUCUCAUGCUGGAAUCUCUUAUGCAGCUAGCAGAAAUGCCUAUCCUCUUAUGUCAUGCUCUCAUGCUGGACAAACAUAGACUCAUGCUUACUGUGAAGAAUUUUGUCAUGUUCAUCUUUUUCUGUAUGUUUCAUUUGGUCUUUCACUGUGAUAUCUAGAUGCCCUCUAUAAACAUCAUGCAUGUCUUUCUUAUGAAGUAAUAUAAUCUUAGAACCAGUCAAAGCACUAUUUCAUUUUUGUUUUUUUUAUA